rnacentral:pre_miRNA from 1 species
CUAGUACUCCCUCCGUUCGAAAAUACUUGUCAUCAAAAUGGACAAAAAGGAAUGUAUCUAGAACUAAAAUACAUCUAGAUACAUCCCCUUUUAUUCAUUUUGAUGACAAGUAUUUUCGGACGGAGGGAGUAGUAC